AUGAGCAGCCCCCGCAGCCGCCGCCGCCGCCGCCGCUCGUCGGCGGCGCCGCUGGAGGACGAAGACCUCCUCUCAGAGAUCCUCCUCCGCCUCCCCCCGCUGCCGUCCUCCCUCCCCCGCGCAUUCCUCGUCUGCGAGCGCUGGCGCGGCAUCGUAUCCGACGCCCGAUUUCUCCGCCGCUUCCUCGACCACCACCGCCGCAACCCUCCCCUCCUCGGUUGCUUCGUCCAAGGUAUCUCCUUCGUCCGUUUCGAACCUACGCUGGAGGCCCCCAAUCGCGUCCCGCAAGCCCGCUUCUCACUUCCCAUCGACGCCGCAUACACCUAUGUGAUCCUCGGAUGCCGCCAUGGCCUCAUGCUCAUCUUCCUUUGGCGGCGGAACCAGCUCCUGGUAUGGGAUCCCCUCACCGAUGACUGGCACCACCUAGACGUUCCCCCAGGGUUUGACAAGGAGGAAACCAGGAUUAGCGGAGCUGUGCUUCGUUCUGCCGGAGUUGUCCACCACUUCCAGGUUGUCUUGGUAGGCAACAGCGGCAUACAACCUACACAGGCUGUGGCCUCGGUGUACUCGUCAGAGACCGGUGUAUGGAGUAAUCUCGUGUCGACACCGCUUCCGGCCGACGAUCCUGAUGUACUCACCGAGGUUUACCAUGACAUGUGCUCUGUGAUGGUUGGGAAUUCCCUUUACUGGUUGCUUAUAGGGAAUUCAUUUGGAAUACUUGAAUUUAAUUUGGAUACGACAGAGCCUAACUGUGAUACAUGUGCUAGUGGACAUCGUCGACAAUUGCUCCUUCACGGUUAUAUGGUCGGAGGGUGGUGGCCUUGGUUUCGUCUUCCUGUCUGA
rnacentral:rRNA from 1 species